GACGAACGCUGGCGGCGUGCUUAACACAUGCAAGUCGAACGAAGUGGCGAACGGGUGAGUAACGCGUAAUCAACCUGCCCUUCAGAGGGGGACAACAGUUGGAAACGACUGCUAAUACCGCAUACUGAAGGAGGGGAUUGCGUCUGAUUAGCUAGUUGGAGGGUUAACGGCCAACCAAGGCGAUGAUCAGUAGCCGGUGUGAGAGGAUGAACGGCCACAUUGGGACUGAGACACGGCCCAGACUCCUACGGGAGGCAGCAGGGGGGAAUCGUCCGAAAUGGACGAAAGUCUGACGGGGAAACGCCGCGUGGUGGAGGACGGCCUUAGGGUUGUAAAGUACUUUUGUCAGGGAAGCGGUACCUGAAGAAUAAGCACCGGCUAACUACGUGCCAGCAGCCGCGGUAAUAC
rnacentral:rRNA from 1 species